rnacentral:rRNA from 1 species
UCCAGACUCCUACGGGAGGCAGCAGUGAGGAAUAUUGGUCAAUGGGCGGGAGCCUGAACCAGCCAAGCCGCGUGAGGGAAGAAGGUACAGCGUAUCGUAAACCUCUUUUGUCAGGGAACAAAGGCGGGGACUAGUCCCCGGAUGAGGGUACCUGAAGAAAAAGCAUCGGCUAACUCCGUGCCAGCAGCCGCGGUAAUACGGAGGAUGCGAGCGUUAUCCGGAUUUAUUGGGUUUAAAGGGUGCGCAGGCGGCGUGUUAAGGCGGGGGUAAAAGCCGGGGGCUCAACCCCGGCGAGCCGUUGAAACUGGCGUUCUUGAGUGGGCGAGAAGUAUGCGGAAUGCGUGGUGUAGCGGUGAAAUGCAUAGAUAUCACGCAGAACUCCGAUUGCGAAGGCAGCCUUCCGACGCCCUACUGACGCUGAGGCACGAAAGUGCGGGGAUCGAACAGGAUUAGAUACCCCCGUAA